rnacentral:rRNA from 1 species
CCUACGGGGGACUGCAGUGGGGGAUAUUGCACAAUGGGGGAAACCCUGAUGCAGCGACGCCGCGUGUGGGAAGACGGUCUUCUGGAUUGUAAACCACUGUCCCCAGGGACGAAAAUGACGGUACCUGGGGAGGAAGCUCCGGCUAACUACGUGCCAGCAGCCGCGGUAAUACGUAGGGAGCAAGCGUUGUCCGGAAUUACUGGGUGUAAAGGGAGCGUAGGCGGGGAUGCAAGUUGGGUGUCAAAACUACCGGCUCAACCGAUAGUCGCACUCAAAACUGCAGCUCUUGAGUGAAGUAGAGGCAGGCGGAAUGCCUAGUGUAGCGGUGAAAUGCGUAGAUAUUAGGAGGAACACCAGUGGCGAAGGCGGCCUGCUGGGCUUUUACUGACGCUGAGGCUCGAAAGUGUGGGGAGCAAACAGGAUUAGAUACCCUUGUAGUC